rnacentral:rRNA from 1 species
AUUGAACGCUGGCGGCAUGCCUUACACAUGCAAGUCGAACGGCGGCACGGGAGCAAUCCUGGUGGCGAGUGGCGAACGGGUGAGUAAUAUAUCGGAACGUGCCCGGUCGUGGGGGAUAACGUAGCGAAAGCUACGCUAAUACCGCAUACGAUCUACGGAUGAAAGCGGGGGAUCGCAAGACCUCGCGCGAUUGGAGCGGCCGAUAUCAGAUUAGGUAGUUGGUGAGGUAAAGGACUCACCAAGCCGACGAUCUGUAGCUGGUCUGAGAGGACGACCAGCCACACUGGGACUGAGACACGGCCCAGACUCCUACGGGAGGCAGCAGUGGGGAAUUUUGGACAAUAGGGCGCAAGCCUGAUCCAGCAAUGCCGCGUGCAGGAUGAAGGCCUCGGUU